AAUCCAUGGUGUGGACAAGCUCUUAAUAGUUUUUUAUAUCUCUCCCAAACAUCGAAAAGAGAUUCACCAUCCUGUUGUGUGAAUCUAGUAAUUUGGUUUCGCAGAAC